UGUCGUCAGCUCGUGUUGUGAAAUGUUGGGUUAAGUCCCGCAACGAGCGCAACCCUUAUCCUUUGUUGCCAGCGGUCCGGCCGGGAACUCAAAGGAGACUGCCAGUGAUAAACUGGAGGAAGGUGGGGAUGACGUCAAGUCAUCAUGGCCCUUACGACCAGGGCUACACACGUGCUACAAUGGCGCAUACAAAGAGAAGCGACCUCGCGAGAGCAAGCGGACCUCAUAAAGUGCGUCGUAGUCCGGAUUGGAGUCUGCAACUCGACUCCAUGAAGUCGGAAUCGCUAGUAAUCGUGGAUCAGAAUGCCACGG
rnacentral:rRNA from 1 species